ACACGUGUGCAGGUGUGUCAGGGGUGCACACACAUGUGCAGGUGUGUCAGGGGUGCACACGUGUGCAGGUGUGUCAGGGGUGCACACACGUGUUCAGGUGUGUCAGGUGCACACACGUGUGUGCAGGUGUGUCAGGGGCACACACAUGUGCAGGUGUGUCAGGGGUGCACACACAUGUUUAGGUGUGUCAGGGGCACACACACGUGUGCAGGUGUGUCAGGGGUGCACACACGUGUUCAGGUGUGUCAGGGGCACACACAUGUGCAGGUGUGUCAGGGGUGCACACACAUGUGCAGGUGUGUCAGGGGCACACACACGUGUGCAGGUGUGUUGGGUACACACACAUGUGCAGGUGUGUCAGGGGCACACACGUGUGCAGGUGUG